GGGAAUAUUGCACAAUGGGGGAAACCCUGAUGCAGCGACGCCGCGUGAAGGAAGAAGUAUCUCGGUAUGUAAACUUCUAUCAGCAGGGAAGAAAACAGACGGUACCUGACUAAGAAGCCCCGGCUAACUACGUGCCAGCAGCCGCGGUAAUACGUAGGGGGCAAGCGUUAUCCGGAUUUACUGGGUGUAAAGGGGGCGCAGACGGCCAUGGCAAGCCCGGUGUGAAAGGCAGGGGCAUAACCCCUGGACUGCACUGGGAACUGUCAGGCUGGAGUGCCGGAGGGGUAAGCGGAAUUCCUGGUGUAGCGGUGAAAUGCGUAGAUAUCAGGAGGAACACCGGCGGCGAAGGCGGCUUACUGGACGGCAACUGACGUUGAGGACCGAAAGCGUGGGGAGCGAACAGG
rnacentral:rRNA from 1 species